rnacentral:rRNA from 1 species
CAGCCGCCACGGUAAUACGUAGGGCGCAAGCGUUAUCCGGAAUUAUUGGGCGUAAAGAGCUCGUAGGCGGUUUGUCGCGUCUGCCGUGAAAGUCCGGGGCUCAACCCCGGAUCUGCGGUGGGUACGGGCAGACUAGAGUGAUGUAGGGGAGACUGGAAUUCCUGGUGUAGCGGUGAAAUGCGCAGAUAUCAGGAGGAACACCGAUGACGAAGGCAGGUCUCUGGGCAUUAACUGACGCUGAGGAGCGAAAGCAUGGGGAGCGAACAGGAUUAGAUACCCCAGUAGUCCCUGUCUCUUAUAC